GACGAACGCUGGCGGCGUGCUUAACACAUGCAAGUCGAACAGAAAGGCCCUGCUUGCCGGGUGCUCGAGUGGCGAACGGGUGAGUAACACGUGGGUGAUCUGCCCCUUACUUUGGGAUAAGCCUGGGAAACUGGGUCUAAUACUGGAUAGGACCAUGCUGUAGGUGGUGUGGUGGAAAGAUUAGUUUCGGUAAGGGAUGAGCUCGCGGCCUAUCAGCUUGUUGGUGGGGUAAUGGCCUACCAAGGCGUCGACGGGUAGCCGGCCUGAGAGGGUGGACGGCCACAUUGGGACUGAGAUACGGCCCAGAAUCCUACGGGAGGCAGCAGUGGGGAAUAUUGCACAAUGGGCGCAAGCCUGAUGCAGCGACGCCGCGUGGGGGAUGACGGCCUUCGGGUUGUAAACUCCUUUCAGCCAUGACGAAGCCCUUGUGGUGACGGUAGUGGUAGAAGAAGCACCGGCUAACUACGUG
rnacentral:rRNA from 1 species